rnacentral:lncRNA from 1 species
CAUAUUUCAUGUGAGGGCCUUAGGCAGUCCACACUGUGAUACAAUUAGAGGUAUAGAAGUUUAUUGGGAUCAACCUCCAUAAAAGAAAUGUGGGAAGUGUCUGAUCAGUGCUGUGGGUCUGACUAGCCUCAGCCAUGUUGAGAGCAAAUGAGACACAUGAGAACCUUCCAUGGGCCCAAGCUCAGUGGUGUGUCUCACUUGGUCACCUCACGUAUACAAUUCUGGGUGUUAAGGAGACUGCAUGAGAGAUGAAGACAGAUGCAGUUGUGAUGGAGAUAAAUGCUACAUGAAGGAAUCAGCAGGCGGUCAAGACAGUUUUUGUUUUGUUUUGUUUUCAA